GUUGUUAUACUUUAAUAAAAAGGCUUAACUUGCACUUAAGUAAUAAAGUUUUGUGCUUUUAACGACA
rnacentral:tRNA from 1 species